ACACUCCUACGGGAGGCAGCAGUGAGGAAUAUUGGACAAUGGGUGGAAGCCUGAUCCAGCCAUCCCGCGUGCAGGAAGACGGCCCUAUGGGUUGUAAACUGCUUUUAUCUGGGGAUAAACCUACUUACGUGUAAGUAGCUGAAGGUACCAGAAGAAUAAGCACCGGCUAACUCCGUGCCAGCAGCCGCGGUAAUACGGAGGGUGCAAGCGUUAUCCGGAUUUAUUGGGUUUAAAGGGUCCGUAGGCGGACUGAUAAGUCAGUGGUGAAAUCCGACAGCUUAACUGUCGAACUGCCAUUGAUACUGUUAGUCUUGAGUAAGGUUGAAGUGGCUGGAAUAAGUAGUGUAGCGGUGAAAUGCAUAGAUAUUACUUAGAACACCAAUUGCGAAGGCAGGUCACUAAGUCUUAACUGACGCUGAUGGACGAAAGCGUGGGGAGAGAACAGGAUUAGAUACCCCAGUAGUCCCAUG
rnacentral:rRNA from 1 species